rnacentral:rRNA from 1 species
AUGGAGGAGGAAACGCGAUACGGCUUAAUGGGCCGACCAGGUUCGCUCGGCCCUCUGCAGCUUCCUGCUGUUGGACGCAACGAUCCAAAACAGUUAGGGUUUUCUUCCAAUCGAGAAAGGAAACCAGAUCGAUCUUGUCAAGUCCCGGCCGGCAAUAUGGCGUCGCCGUCGCUCCCUCCCGCAGAAAGCCAAGCCAACAACUGCGACAGCGGCAACACCACGCCCCUGGCCGGCACCGCCAACGGCAGCGUGCUCCUGCCCCACGACUUGCUCUACGAGAUCCUCCUGCGCCUCCCCGCGAAGCCGGUGUGCCGCCUCCGCGCCGUGUGCCGGUCAUGGCGGCUCCUGCUCUCCGACGCUUCCUUCGUCGCCGCCCACGAGCACCGCCACCGCCACCACCUGCUCGUCGCCGACCUCAGAUGGGAGACGUCGGCCGAAGCCCCUCGCGUGGACUUCCACAUCAUGGACACGUCCGGGCACAGGGCGAGGCAGAUACGGUUCGAUGAUAACCCUUACGCCAGAAACCUCAGCUGGAGCGCGGCGCCUAGAAACCACGACCAGCUGCUCUGCCUCGUCGGCGCGGACAGUCGCGCCCGCGUGAUCGACCCGGCCACCGGUGUCGUGUUCCUCUUGCCUGAUGACCGCCCAGAUGAUGAUCACCAUUACCAUUACGGCCUCUCCAGACGUUUUGUGCUAGGCCGGUCCUCCACAACAGGAGACACCAAGGUGCUGGUCGUCGCCGGAUGGUACGCGAAGGUCCUUACCCUCGGCGAUGGAGCCGGUAAGUGGCGGAAGACAUAUUACCCCCAAGUAAGCUUGGCAACUUCACCCAGGAGUGUGGCCCUGGUCAAGGGCGUCCUCUAUUUCUUGGCAUGCAAACACGUUGGCAUCGCAGCAUAUGACCUCGAGGAGGAGACAUGGCGGCCGGAUCUCCUCAACUUGCCGCUGCCAGUCGACGGAGACAUUGCCCUGGCCGAACUGAGUGGCAGCUUGGUUGCAGUCUACGGCCGUAGCCGCAUACCUGACUAUACUGACGUCUUCAUGGAUAUGUGGUUCCUGACAGACUCCGAGGAGGUUCCGUGGUCGAAUCGGUACACGAUCACCAUGCCAUACCAAGACCAAGGUUGCCGAAGCCCGUGCGAGGCAAGUCGCGGCCAUCCCUUGUGGGAACUGGAUGAUGGGAGGAUUCUCUUGUGGGUGUCGAACGACAAGGCGCGGCUACAGUUGCUGCAGGUGUAUGAUCCGAGAACAAACGCUUACACGGAAGGAGUUGAGAUGUCAUGCCACUGCAUGAUCGGUGUUUACAAAGGGAGUUUACUUGCUGGUCUUCCGUGGAGCAGGAAUUACAGUUUUUUCGGGAGAAUUAAGCGAGUAUAUGAUUACAGUUUGGCAUCCAUACAGUACUUCACGGAUGUGGCUAGAUCUCAGUCGAGUUAG